GGGAGUUUAGCUCAGCUGGAGAGCAUCUGGCCUUAGAAGCAGAGGUCCAAGCGGUUCGAUCCCGUUACUCCCA
rnacentral:tRNA from 1 species